GGCACUCUACUUUGAUGACACAUG
rnacentral:siRNA from 1 species